rnacentral:rRNA from 1 species
GGAGUUAGGAAAUGCAGGUGCGUUAAUAGCGCACUUGCUUGACUAAGGCUCCAGAGGAAGCCACGGCUAACUCUGUGCCAGCAGCCGCGGUAAUACAGAGGCGGCAAGCGUAGUUCGGAAUUAUUGGGCGUAAAGAGCACGUAGGCGGCCUUGCAAGUCAGUUGUGAAAGCCUUCCGCUUAACGGAAGAACGGCAUCUGAUACUACAGGGCUUGAGUACGGGAGGGGAGAGUGGAACU